AUUGAACGCUGGCGGCAGGCCUAACACAUGCAAGUCGAGCGCGCGGCGGACGGGUGAGUAAUGUAUGGGGACUGCCCGAUAGAGGGGGAUAACUACUGGAAACGGUAGCUCAUACCCCAUACUCUCUGAUAGACCAUAUGGGGUUAGCUUGUAGGUGAGGUAAUGGCUCACCUAGGCGACGAUCCCUAGCUGGUCUGAGAGGAUGAUCAGCCACACUGGGACUGAGACACGGCCCAGACUCCUACGGAGGCAGCAGUGGGGAAUAUUGCACAAUGGGCGAAAGCCUGAUGCAGCCAUGCCGCGUGUAUGAAGAAGGCCUUAGGGUUGUAAAGCACUUUCAGUUGGGAGGCGUUACCGACAGAAGAAGCACCGGCUAACUCCGUGCCAGCAGCCGCGGUAAUAC
rnacentral:rRNA from 1 species